rnacentral:lncRNA from 8 species
AUGCCUACCCAGAUGGGGAGCCAGGUGGAUCAGAGGAGGGAGAUCCACAAACUAAAGAAGGAAUUACCCCUACAGGAGCCACUGAAGAAUAAAAUAUCCCAACAGAAGCUACUGAAGGAGAGACAAGCCCAACAGGAGCUGCCGAAGGAGAAACUACUAAAACAACAGGAGGAGAAACUUCCCAAAGGAGAGAAGAGGGAGACGUACCAAGGGCUGAAGGGCAAGGGACUUUUACACUCACCCGGUCCCCUUGAUGAACAAUUGAAUAGGAAAAAAAGAGAGGAACCUGCCAAACAACCGGGUAGGACAAACAAGGUUAGCAUUCCAGUCCCACCUCAGAUCAUAACGGAAACAGGAGAACAAAAAUCGGUCGCAUUAUACAGGGUAAAACCCCUACCUGAAGUCGCAUACUGUGGAUGGACUCAUCAUCAGACGAAGGGAGAAGUGAUUUGGGAUCCGAAAGGAUGUGACUUAACAAUAAUCAAAGAAGAAAAUGAAUGGGUGCUCAGCAUAAAUAACAUUGAACCCGUUGAAGGAGAAGAAUUUAUAGUUGAACUGGCACGUACAGGACUGACUGGAGGGAGCAGUUCAACCACCAUGAAAAUCGAAUUCACACCGGCACCCAAUCUAGAGGUGCUUACAACGACUAGAACCACGACGACUGUGGCAGCUGCUGUAAGCACCACAGUGGUCACCACCAGAGUACCAACUACUACUCUGGGUGAGAAAUCCAUUAUACCUACAACGAAACCAAAAGCAUCAGAAACAGGAGGGUUCUUUACUGACAUUUGGAACUUGUUGACAAAACCCAACAGUCCACCUCAAGAGGACGACGCGGAUGAAACAGCAAGUAUGUUAGAACCAGAACCACUCAAGGACAAAACAUUGGAAGAAGCGGUAAAGAAUGAUUGGUAUAAAUGGGCUAGGUAUACGGCGGACAGACAUAGAAUGGACGAUUGUAUCUUGUGCAGUAAAUCACCCUUGUCUGAAGUGUUAAUAGUACCUGAACCUGCAUCAUUUGACAGUUGUGCUAAUUGGAAAAAUGCUAAUUGUAAACCGGGAAAGUACCAUAUUCCCUUGUGUGACAUUGAAUGCAGAAUGGCCUUGGGUAGUACUAGGGGUAAAACAAUGUUAAAUGAGACUGUACUGGCUAAUAAGGAAUGUGCUGCAUACAACAUUAAAACUGACUUAACUAGACCUCAGAUAGACAAAAGUACUGUGGUUAAGGGAAAAUAUGAAUGUUUCUAUAACUAUGGUAUUGGUGGGAUUAACGUAGGAAACAAAACUGUUAAAUGUGACACUAUCUGGGUGUUAGAGUUUGCGGGGAUUCGCAAAUUUGAUGAGAAAGGAUUAAUUACUAAUAGGAGGGGUUCGUGUGGCCACAUCACUCAGGUUGCACCAUCUCUUACUAAAAACCCAAGAUAG